GGGGGUGUCCUGGCUUCGACGGGGGUAGUGAGAUGGCUUGGUGCAUGCCGAGGGGGCGACUUUCCUCGUAAAUCCAGUAGCAAAACUCAUAGUUGCCAACGACGACAACUACGCUCCCGUUGCUCUCGCUGCCUAAGAAGUAGCCUGACAACGGUCGGCCCAUAUAGAGGCUGAGCCCCGGACCCACUUGUGCUUGUGCUCGUGGCAAUCCGGGUCACUAUCACAAGAUCGCCCAAAGCUGCCGCCUGUCGGCCAGGGCUAAAUCAAGCAGGCUGGUCCUUCGAUGCGCUUUGCACAUCGUGCUGUCGAGGGGCGAGAUCCAACGGUGAGCUAAGCAUGUAGUACCGGGCGUCAAGCGCCUUCGGACGCGGGUUCGACUCCCGCCACCUCCACCA
rnacentral:tmRNA from 2 species